CCAGACUCCUACGGGAGGCAGCAGUGGGGAAUAUUGCACAAUGGGGGGAACCCUGAUGCAGCGACGCCGCGUGGGUGAAGGAGCACCUCGGUGCGUAAAGCCCUAUCGGCAGGGAAGAAACAGACGGUACCUGACUAAGAAGCCCCGGCUAACUACGUGCCAGCAGCCGCGGUAAUACGUAGGGGGCAAGCGUUAUCCGGAUUCACUGGGUGUAAAGGGGGCGCAGACGGCGAUGCAAGCCAGGAGGGAAAGCCCGGGGCCCAACCCCGGGACUGCUCUUGGAACUGCGUGGCUGGAGUGCAGGAGGGGGAGGCGGAAUUCCUGGUGUAGCGGUGAAAUGCGUAGAUAUCAGGAGGAACACCGGUGGCGAAGGCGGCCUGCUGG
rnacentral:rRNA from 1 species